AUUAGCUUCAAGAUCACCGAAAUCGCCCGACAUCAGUUUCGAGACGGCAGCCUCCAUCGACGGUUCUAGCGCUUCAUCCAUUAUUAUCUGCUUUCUUCUUUAUUUUUGACAGCCACAAAUUGUCAGUUGAAGUUGAAGAGCAACAUUUAAUCUGUACGCUUCCUUUAUUGUACUUUCAAGAAAAACGAACUAGCAGAAACUAAUUAAGUCACCAAUCAAUUUCCAUGACUCUUUUGUUUGCGGAAUUAAUUUGAAGAGUUCUGACAUUGAUACCCACCAAUUUUACCCCAGGGUGUAAUAUUAUUAAUCUUCGACAGAUGAAGUUCAGGUAACCCUUUUUGGACAUCGGUAUCUUUGACCAUUAUAUAUAUAUAUUUGUAUCAAUUCAUGAUAAAUAGCCAGAGAUAUCUUUACAAGGCAGCUUCAUAAAUCGGCAGCGUAAAUCAAGCCAGUUAAUCAGAAUGAAUAACUUUUUGGGAUCAUCGUCCAAAUUUUCAUCAUGUGACUUUACCCAGAUAUGUUUUACGUUUCUACUUAUUUCCAUUCAAUUAUCAGAAGUGAGAUGUCGGAACUACGGGCCCAGUGUUGUCACACAUUUGCCAGCAACAUACCAACAGGAACUCCAAAUGGAUAAGAUCAAUUUCUUUAAAACUCAACUUAAAGAACUAUGGCAGCAAAACGAAGAGCAACAAGGCAGAGAUCAAACAGAAAUCUUUUUAGCAGAAAGGCCGAAGUUGAAGCGGCAACAGAAAAACUGCAAUUACCAUGUUUGCUCGUGGAAAACGCCAACAUGGUAACAACAAUGGAUCGACUCAAAACAACAACGAUUGUGCAUUAUAGUUCUUUCUAUAGUUUUAAUGCCGAUGAAUGCCUCACGAAUUUAACAACUCUGAAUCAUUUAUGAUAUCAAUGAUGUUCACAAUUCCAAUUGCGUUAAA